rnacentral:rRNA from 1 species
CAACCCUGAUCCAGCAAUGCCGCGUGAGUGAUGAAGGCCUUCGGGUUGUAAAGCUCUUUCGCCCACGACGAUGAUGACGGUACCUCCAGAAGAAGCCCCGGCUAACUACGUGCCAGCAGCCGCGGUAAUACGUAGGGGGCAAGCGUUGUCCGGAUUCAUUGGGCGUAAAGAGCGUGUAGGCGGCCAGGUAGGUCGGUUGUGAAAACUGGAGGCUCAACCUUCAGACGUCGACCGAAACCAUCUGGCUAGAGUCCGGGAGAGGAGAGUGGAAUUCCUGGUGUAGCGGUGAAAUGCGCAGAUAUCAGGAAGAACACCCGUGGCGAAAGCGGCUCUCUGGAACGGUACUGACGCUGAGACGCGAAAGCGUGGGGAGCGAACAGGAUUAGAUACCCUGGUAGUCCACGCCGUAAACGAUGGGCGCUAGGUGUGGGAGGUGUCGACUCCUUCCGUGCCGCAGCUAACGCAUUAAGCGCCCCGCCUGGGGAGUACGGCCGCAAGGCUA